UGCAGAAUCCCGUGAACCAUCGAGUCUUUGAACGCAAGUUGCGCCCAAAGUUUCGGCUAAGGGCACGUCUGCCUGGGUGUCACGCAUCAUGUCGCCCCCAAUACUCUCGCCUCCCUCCCGUCUCGGGAGUUUGGCAAGUGGUAGGGCGCGGAAGAUGGCCUCCCGUUGCAUCCCGCUGCGGUUGGCCUAAAUGUGAGCAUGGGAGCGACGUACUCCGCGGCGCGCGGUGGUGGUAAUAUCGCCCCUCGGGCUAGUGUCCGGACUGUCCUUCCCUUGUUGCUCGGUGGCCUCACAACCAACACAUGCGACCCCAGGUCAGGCGGGACUACCCGCUGAGUUUAAGCAUAUCAAUAAGCGGAGGAAAAGAAACUAACAAGGAUUCCCCUAGUAACGGCGAGCGAACCGGGAAAUGCCCACCAUGAAAAUCGAGCACCCUCGGUGCUUGA
rnacentral:rRNA from 1 species